rnacentral:rRNA from 1 species
GACGAACCGUGCGAACGUUGUUCAGAAUCACUGGGCUUAAAGGGCGCGUAGGCGGCAGUUCAAGUCCGGGGUGAAAUCCUCCAGCUCAACUGGAGAAGUGCCUUGGAUACUGGAUUGCUCGAGGGAGGUAGGGGUCGAGGGAACUUCUGGUGGAGCGGUGAAAUGCGUUGAUAUCAGAAGGAACGCCGGUGGCGAAAGCGCUCGACUGGACCUCUUCUGACGCUGAGGCGCGAAAGCUAGGGGAGCAAACGGG